GGGGGGGGGGAGGGGGAGGGGGGGGGGGAGGGAAGGAGAAGAGCCAAGCUGUUCAGAAGACAAGGAAAAGUUAUGUGACUCCUGAUGAAAUAUUCAUACACCAGAAUUCGAGUCAGAGCAGCUUCAUGCAAACUGCCUUGGGAAUUUCUAUUUGAAAGGCUGGAGAUCUCAGAAGAGGGUGGAUUGCCACUCUGUUGAAGGUCUCUUUAACCAGAGACAUUCUGUAUUGGAAAGACAGGAACACAGUGAGUAUCUUUGUUUUGGGGGGGGGGUAGCUUUGAAAAUGAGAAAACCCUGACAGUGUGCUAAAGUAAUGAUUAAUACGGACGGCAUUCUGCUUCUAAAAGCCAUAAGAUCUUUAAUAUCAACACAAUAUAUGAGACUUCACUUGAAGCUCUUAUCUGAAGGAUGACAUUGAGGGUGCUAUUUCAUCUUCCGUCUGUGGAAGGGAACCAGGAGGAGAAUCAUUUCUGAGGUCCCUUUGCUUCGCCAUAAAGCUUGUACAUACAUAUGAACCAGAUCCUGAUUCUCACUACCACCUUUCUUUGAGAUAAUAUCCAUUUGAACUGG
rnacentral:lncRNA from 1 species